GCCUCCCCCUCAUUCUAUCCCUUUGCUUGUUCCUCAAGAGCCGGGUUCAAUGGUUCCGACCCGCUUUCCCGAGUCAGAAACGAGUCAAACCCGCUGACCCGGAAGGGCCCGUCGCUGACCAACCAAUCGCCGUGCUCCACGACGCGUGUCGCGGUCCCACCGGCUUCCGCGCGGAUCGCUGGUACUGACCCCAAAUCCGUCUCUUUUUAAUACUUCCAACAGG
rnacentral:lncRNA from 1 species